rnacentral:SRP_RNA from 1 species
CGUCAGGACCUGCGCAAUGUACCAGUACCGAACCCCGCCAGGCCCGGAAGGGAGCAACGGUAGGUACCCGGGCAUGUGCCGCGGUCAGCCUGACGGGA